ACAAUUUCUGAACCUUUUGGCCGAGAUCAAGUGUAGUAACUAAAUUAUCAGUUUACUGUCUCACCAUGUAUUGAAAUGGAUUUUUAUGAACAGGGUGAUGGAAAAAGCUUGUUCUGUCCAUUCCAUACAUUUAACCUGUUAUUGCAGUACCUACAGGACCGGUGCACAAAAA